rnacentral:rRNA from 1 species
AAAUUGAAGAGUUUGAUCAUGGCUCAGAUUGAACGCUGGCGGCAGGCCUAACACAUGCAAGUCGAACGGUAACAGGAAACAGCUUGCUGUUUCGCUGACGAGUGGCGGACGGGUGAGUAAUGUCUGGGAAACUGCCUGAUGGAGGGGGAUAACUACUGGAAACGGUAGCUAAUACCGCAUAACGUCGCAAGACCAAAGAGGGGGACCCUCGGGCCUCUUGCCAUCGGAUGUGCCCAGAUGGGAUUAGCUUGUUGGUGGGGUAACGGCUCACCAAGGCGACGAUCCCUAGCUGGUCUGAGAGGAUGACCAGCCACACUGGAACUGAGACACGGUCCAGACUCCUACGGGAGGCAGCAGUGGGGAAUAUUGCACAAUGGGCGCAAGCCUGAUGCAGCCAUGCCGCGUGUAUGAAGAAGGCCUUCGGGUUGUAAAGUACUUUCAGCGGGGAGGAAGGGAGUAAAGUU